AUGCUUCUCCUAAAGACUAAGCCAUGCAUGCCCUGAAUAAGAGGAAGCAAUUCUCUCUGAAUCUGCGAACGGCUCCGCAAACCAGUUGUAAACCACAGCAAGCCCGCAAGGGUGGGCCUCGGCUCGCCUGCGCGAUACGGAUAACCCUGGUAAUUCUAAGGCUAAUACGUGUAUGGAACACCCGGUGGACCGGCCUUGUGCUGGGAAACCGGGAGGCGAGGGAUUGAAUGUUUGGAUUACCAGGAACGGGCA
rnacentral:rRNA from 1 species